rnacentral:rRNA from 1 species
AUUGAACGCUGGCGGCAGGCCUAACACAUGCAAGUCGAGCGGAUGAAGGGAGCUUGCUCCUGGAUUCAGCGGCGGACGGGUGAGUAAUGCCUAGGAAUCUGCCUGGUAGUGGGGGAUAACGUCCGGAAACGGGCGCUAAUACCGAAUACGUCCUGAGGGAGAAAGUGGGGGAUCUUCGGACCUCACGCUAUCAGAUGAGCCUAGGUCGGAUUAGCUAGUUGGUGGGGUAAAGGCCUACCAAGGCGACGAUCCGUAACUGGUCUGAGAGGAUGAUCAGUCACACUGGAACUGAGACACGGUCCAGACUCCUACGGGAGGCAGCAGUGGGGAAUAUUGGACAAUGGGCGAAAGCCUGAUCCAGCCAUGCCGCGUGUGUGAAGAAGGUCUUCGGAUUGUAAAGCACUUUAAGUUGGGAGGAAGGGCAGUAAGUUAAUACCUUGCUGUUUUGACGUUACCAACAGAAUAAGCACCGGCUAACUUCGUG